UCUCUCUCUCUCGCUCAAAAUAAACAAACAAACAAAAAAAACGUGUUCUCAACUGAGAAACUAAAUCUCGGUUUAAAUCGUAUGUCUGUGUGGUUUGUGUAUCAAUCCUGUGUUUUCCUUUCUAUGUUUAAGGAGGCUUUGAUAUGUGGGGGCACCCCUGACGUCACGGGGACUGCGUCCCCUACGGUGGUGAUGACACCCCAUCCACCCGCCUGCUUUCUCCGGCUCUCAGCCGUGGGGCUCUGACCCCCGGGGCAGCCCCUGUACCCAGAGGAACUGAAAUUACUCAGACCUGCCAGUCCCCGGUAUGGUCAGCUGUCCCCUUGCUGGCUCAGUCCCUCCUAUGAAAACCACAGUAAGGCUUCCCCCCUCACUUCUUCUGCCCCUGACCGACCGCCGGGCCUCCAGGGGGGUGGCCCCAUGGGACCUGCCCUGCCUCCUGUGUCCAGGAAUCUGCGACCUUCAGCUGCUUCCUUCACGACGAUCACUUCGUGCCUGCGUGUCUCACGAGGCCUGCGUCCAGCAGAUCCCAGGCAUACACCCUCCGCUCAGUUGCGUACCUCCAUUUUCAGAAGAACCAACAGUUCUUUCAGCCCGGUUGAAAACUAACAAAAAACCAAAGACCAAAAGUCGCCUAAAAACAAUGCAGCUGACAGCAGCAGGAACAAAACAGUGAGUUUACAAGGUGUCUGUGUUUAAAAUCCUCGUGGGUAAGAUGUUGGGAGACCGAUGCUGCUUUCUCUACGUGGCGUCGGAGGCUCAGAGCUGAGGGCCCGAUGGUUUACGGGGCCCACAGUCUGAGGUGGAUAAGAACAUCUGAAGUCAGCUCUCCAAGGACUUUGCUAAGAGACAGCAGCCCCCGGACAGGAAGGCAUGUGGGCCCGUCCCUCGCCUGCCCUGCGCCCUCUUGGUGUUCCCCGACGUGAAGCCAUUCGCUGGCCAACCGAGUCUCCGUCGGUGUAGAUGGCACCAGAGGCAUCUUUGAAUUGCGGGGCCCCGCCCGCCUGCCAGAGAGUCGUCGAUGCGGCCGGCCUCGGAGGUGGCCGGUGCCCCAGAGUCGGAAGGGACCCGGCGCGGGUCAGCCGGAAAGACCGCCGCAAGGCUGCCGGGCUCCCUUUCUCUGGCGCUCGGAGGCUGCGACAGACACCUGACCGCGCAGGCCGCCCUGUGACACUGCCCAGUCCUUCCCGCCAGCAAUGCCAGACCUGAGGGUGGGCUCUUCCAGGCGGAAACGGGCAAGCUUUGUGUCCGGAACGAGCACUCUCGGGGCAUUUAGGUUUGUCUUCUGUGCCGCCGGCCCUGUCCACAGGGACCUGGUCCACACGGGACCUCACUGUCAGCAGGGCCACUAACACUGGACUUUGUCGGCUGAGUGUCUUCCGCUCCACGUUUGCGACCGGCAUUAAGGCGCGUGGGGUGCAGGCUGGAGGCUCUCUCCUGUGUCAUGCGGUCGGUCACACUGUCACCUGUGAGGUGUCCCGGGCACCGAGGCCCUAGAUCAACACCCUGUGUUACAAGAGACGCAGGCCCCAGAGGGACAGUCCCCGGGACACGUUGACCGGAGCCACAGAGAAGCGGCUGGGGCCAGUCGGGAACGUGGGACACUGGGCGGGACAAGCCAGCGAGCCGGGAGCGAGGAAAAGGGGUCCGGCGUCCGUGGAGGUCACAAGGGCCCAGCGUGCUGCGUGAACCCCGGCCUGCCGUGACCAACGCAGAGCGCCCGUCUUCCCGGGACUUCCGCUGAUCUUCCUGGGCGGUAGGGGGCGUGGUGAGGUACAGGACCGGUCGCUGACGGGAGAAAUGGGCGGAGUCGAGUCGAGAGUCCAUAGCGCCUGCGCAAAGGCUCAGCGGCCUGGGCGGGGCGCGAGCGUGGGCACGAGCGUGGCCGCGAGGGCUGCUGGGUGACUAGCCGAGGUGACGACGGCCGGCGGUGUGGAACGUGGGUAUUCAUCUUCUCAUUUAAAAUCCUGUUCUGUGCACUUAGCCGCCCUCAGUCGGCGGGAAAACGUACUUGACCGCGAAACCGUUCUCGCAACGGCCGCUCGCAGGGUGCCCCUCGCGCUCCCGAAGACGAGCCAGAGCGGAGGUGACGGAGACUGCGCGGCUCCUCUGUGCGCAGGCUCCGGGCCGGCGCGGGACUUGUCUGCCUCGGUUCCUUUUCCUGGACACGGGGCCGGCGACCUUCCUGCCACUACGCUGCAACCAGGCGGCCCACGGUGCGGCCACUUUGGGUUGCUAAAUAUCUAGAUACUUCCGGCCCGCGUUGCCAGGUCCACUAGGCGUCCCCACCGUCCGGUAAUUACCGUCGCGCUGCCUGGCGGCCGAGUCUUCUGCGCGUGGCCCCCCCUCACCUCCCGGCCCCGCCGUGGGAUCCGUCAAGCUAGUGCUUUCCACGAGCCAAGCCCUUGGGACGGCGCCUGCCACCGGAUGAACACUCGAACUAUUUACAAGAGGUGGACAUCAGCAAUACAGAGAUCAAAUGAGAGAGGCCUCAUCAGAGGGGAGUCGAUGGAGAAAACGGUGGGCACGUUUUCCUUAUAAUCGGCUGAGCGUGGGGAAAAAAAAGCCACGAACAAAGAGAACUCAAAUAAUGCAACCUGGUGGCGUCUGAAAGAAAUGACCAACAUUCUGAUACGUUAUUAACAAGAAGCAAGACGAGGCGGUGACGGACCGCGGGCCGUACGUUCCCGUCGGGUAUUCUGCAUGCUACUAAACAGAAUUUGUCAAAAGAACCAUAAACGCAUGAGAGAGAGAAGUACAUAAAGAGCUGGGUCCCAGUGAGGUGUAACUUUGCACAGAGGGCAGUCCUACACGUUUGCGGAGAGGAAGUGGUAACAACCGUUACCGGUGACAACGCAGACGGUGUAUGCGACGACGACAAACGAGGAUGGGGGAGAGGAGUUAUGUGCAAAGUGCUCUUGUUCCCAAGCGACAUUCACCUGCUCGGGCUUCGUGGAACUUACGGGUCCUGUUUAUCAUACUUGUGUUUUGAUUUUGAGAGUUAAACUAAAGCCUUCAGUGUGGCGAUGCUGCCGUGAGCAAAACGCUGUGUCAGCUCGUGUCUCAACAGUUACGCGGUGUCUUCGGGGAAGAACGCUGUCCGAUCUGAGCGUCUCCAGCAUACGCAAAAUCUCUUACUGAAACUAUCUCCAUAACGUGGUGAGACGGCCACACUACAGGUCUGUGGUGCGUAUCUGCCAGAAGUGCCAGAAAUAAGUUGGUUUGAUUGACUAACACAAGUAUUAUAAACAGUUUUAUUUUUCGUUACAUGUACAAUAUGUAAACAUGGCUUAUCUGCAUUUCACGGUGGGAUGUCGCCUGUGUGAGAAGUGAAAAUAUUGCACUGAGUCAUGGUGGCAGGUGACACUGCCUGGGGGCCGGCGGCAGGCCCUGGCUGCGUGUCACACGACCUUCUUUGGGACUCGGUGGACCGGACAGGGGUUCGUACGCACCCCCCACUGCGAAUCGGUGGCCACUGUCACGUUUAGCUACAGGGAAUUCUUAACUACUCAGCUUUAAAAAAGUAAGACUUGGAAGGCCAACAUGCUUUAGUAUCAACUGUGCUCCAGUGAACCCCAUGCUUGGUUGGAUGGAGAGUAUGAGGAAAAGAAAAUACUGCAGGCUGAAGCAGCACCCCCGGGGGAUGACCUCACUGGAUGUCCUGCUGGUGUCACCAGGCUGCAGGGGGACCUGGGGGCAUGACAGUGCCCGUCAAGCUGAGGAAACAAAGUGCCAGAGGAGUGGGGACUCUGAGUUUGGGAUCCGAGGGAGAGAUUUGAUGGGCUCUUCCUCUGCAGACGCGUCUGGACAGGGACACAGGAAAGCGAUGCUGGGAUGACGGUCACUGCAUCUAAGCAUGAUUGUACAAGUGGAAAGCCUUUUCAUUCGAAUCCUUCUUGCUUUGCUCUGGUGCCAGUCAGAAUCCUGAAACCUAAUUACUUUUCUCAGAGUCCACAGCUGGAAAUCACCACAUGUGACCUUUUUUUUUUGUCAUGUCUAAAACAGGCAAGAAAUAUAUUCUUGACUUUAGCGAUACUGCAUAGGACAAAAGAAUUCUGGAAAAAUACAAAUGUAAGCUACAUUUCUUCUUUACCAUUUAAGCUGAGAGAUACCACUCACAUUCAUAUUUCUUAAACUUUUUACAUCACAACUGUCAUUUUAAACAAGCAAACUUUUUUUUUUUUUUAAGGAUACCCUGGAAAGUCAACUGAUAGAGCAGUUUGAGAAUAUAUAUACAUCCAUAAAAAAAAAUCACAGGUACAUAAAUGGGGACACUUACAGACAAGACUGUGGUAGAAGUUAUGAAGGAAUAAAACAUACGAUGACUCUUUCAUCGGAAUAAGGGCGAUUAUUUUUCUCUUUACACGCCUGCUACAGGCCAGCCAGCCUUCUGUAAGACUCCAACCCUUUUCAUGUGUCACUCCCUUGGGUGAAUGAACACUCAGCUUAUUUUGGGACUGUUAGAUGCUGUGCCAGAGAUUUCUAUCGGGUUCAGACUUGUGAGCCACCCCUCCCUCCCCCCUCCGGGGGUUUCUGGAGAACCGCAUGGCCGGGAGUCGGGUGGCUGGAGAGAUGGCUUCUCAUAAACUCUGCACAAGGACCCUGGCGACAGGGGCCGGCUAGACUUGGGGGGCAGGGGGAGGUGCCCCCAGGUGACAGGGGGUGGGGGUCUUUCUUGCCUGCACUUCGAGCUGAAGCAGUUUCCACUGGGGUGUCUGGUGAGUGGCAAGAUGCACCCGUAUCUAGUUAUUUGUUAGUCUUGCCUCGAAUUGUCACACGCUUUAUAAAAAUAUAAAUAACAAAAAUGUGAGCUGGGCUCCAUCUCGAGAGGUGUUUCCUGUGAUCCUCUGAGAACAGAGCGGAUCAGGGAGGUGUCCCCACGCCUAG